GUAGGGAAUAUUGCGCAAUGGAGGCAACUCUGACGCAGCCAUGCCGCGUGCAGGAAGAAGGCGCUACGCGUUGUAAACUGCUUUUAACCGGGAAGAAACCCCAGGACGUGUCCUGGGUUGACGGUACCGGAGGAAUAAGCACCGGCUAACUUCGUGCCAGCAGCCGCGGUAAUACGAAGGGUGCAAGCGUUAUCCGGAUUCAUUGGGUUUAAAGGGUGCGUAGGCGGAGCGUUAAGUCAGUGGUGAAAUCCAGCAGCUUAACUGUAGACUUGCCAUUGAUACUGGCGCUCUUGAGUGCGCUUGAAGUGGGCGGAAUGUGCCGUGUAGCGGUGAAAUGCUUAGAUAUGGCACAGAACACCAAUUGCGAAGGCAGCUCACUAAGGCGAUACUGACGCUGAGGCACGAAAGCGUGGGGAUCGAACAGGAUUAGAAACCCUUGUAGUCC
rnacentral:rRNA from 1 species